rnacentral:lncRNA from 1 species
CUGCUAAAGGUGAGAUAAACAUUUCACGGAGUAAUGUUGAAACCGGAGGUAGAAACCCUGAUACGGAGAACAAGGGGAAGGGAAACAGCAAGUCCAAGAAAAACAAGAAGGGAAAAGGAGGGCGGAAACGCAAGUAGCCUUAAACCUUUAACGAAUUAAGUAGUCUUCUAAAAAAAAAUAACCUUUUCUUCUGCAUUUGUUUAUAGCAGUGUGAUUUUUCCUUUCCUUUCCUUUUUUUUUCUUUUUUUUUUCCUGUAUGGAGAAAGAAAAAAAUUAUAUUAUGAGGUCAUAACACCUACAAAAAACUUGCAAUAUACUGUAAUUAUUUUCAAUUAUUUAUGUUGACUUGUUCAUCUCUCCAAUGGCAGGAUCGUUAAUGGUCAAAUCUUACACCAUACAGCCUCUCAAGAUAAUUUUUCCUGUAUGGAGAAAGAAAAAAAUUAUAUUAUGAGGUCAUAACACCUACAAAAAACUUGCAAUAUACUGUAAUUAUUUUCAAUUAUUUAUGUUGACUUGUUCAUCUCUCCAGUGGCAGGAUCGUCAAUGGUCAAAUCUUACACCAUACAGCCUCUCAAGAUAAAAGGAACUGUUCCCUCCAUGCAGGCAUCCUGAAUGUGCAACUCUAUUAAUAUAAAUCACUUCAAAAUUACCCAUAUUAUUAUAUUGCACACUCUCCAUCUUGCCUCAUCAUCCUGAAAAUCUGUGCAGCAAAUAUAUUAUCUAACUUAUUCCUAAAAAAAUUCCACAUUUCAAGAUUGAUUUGAAGAAUAUUUUAAAACCACAAUAUUCCAAACACAAGAAAUGCAGGCCAACAAGAUAUCAUGUUUUGCAAGUAAAGCCAAUAGUUUUACCAUUAACAUGGAGACAAUCCUCAAGAGGAAUGAUCAAAACCAUUGUUGUGGUAACAAUGCAAGUGUUACAGCUCUAUAAAACUCAGUUCUUUUUUCUUUGUUCCUUUUAAUUAUCCUUGGUGAUCAACUUCAGCCACGUUUCCAGAUCAAUCCUACACUAAAUGAGAUGGAGGAUUAUUACCCAAAAAUCCAAUGUCUUCCUUCUCUAUCUGGAGAGUAGCUGAACUCUCCAAAUCAUUAUUACUUCAAAACUUCAAAAACCAAAACUCAGUUCUUCUCAUUUGACCCAAAAAGCUUCAUCCUUGAUAAUGAGGUCCUCAAAUACCCCUCCACCUCAAACUUCUUUGGCGAAAGCUCACGAUACUUGGCAAACUGCUCUUUUACCCCCUCAUUUCUAUCAAGUAAACUAUAUAUAAUCCCUCUACAAAAAUAAGGCCCGAAAUCUUUAGGAUCCUCUUUUGACAACUCUUGAUAACUCUUCAACGCCUUCUCCACAUUCUUUUGCAGGAACUGCAUUUGUGCCAUAAUCAGCCUCACGUUCCUCGCUUCUUUCACUUUAUUCUCCUCUCCUGCAAUAUCUAAAGCCUCUUGUAACCUUCUAAUAACCGCCUCUCCUUCUCCACAGCGGUCCAUUAGUAGUGGAUUCUCGAACAAAGCCUCAAAAGACAAAGGAUUAUAGACAAGAAUUUCUUCAAACACAUUGCGAGCAUCUUGUACUCGACCCAUUUAAUUUGGCUCGGCAAUCUUGCCAUUAAAAACUUCCACCCAGUUACUGUUGUGCAUACUGGACCGAAAACAAACACAAAUAAAAACACAAACAAACAGAUUUACGUGGUUCCCAAAAACCGGAUACGUCCACGGAGGCAGCAGAUUGUAUAUUAUUGAAGGAAUGAUACAAACACUCAACUCAACCCAAUACAACCCCACAAAACCCAGUGUUUCACUCUUACACUCGGUGUUUUUCUCAAAUCUGCACUUGCACUCACUCUCACAGUUGCACUGUCUUCCUCUCUCUGCACACACUUGCACUGUCUCUGUACUACUCUCUGCACUCUCUCGUCUCUGUCUCCAUUUAUACAAGAAAGAAGAGCCUUGGCAGCAACCCAUGUGCAACCUAAUAAAUGCCAACCAACUACUACAAGAAGAAAGUCAUGGUGGUUGGAAAAAGGUUGACAAAUUUGCUACAAAUCUCCACCUUGGCAAGAUUUUUCCAUCCAAUCCUCGUGAUCGAUCAAUGAUGCCUCUAACGCGCCAUAUGGCGCUGCACCCUGAAGGUGCUCAACACCGAGAGAUGUUGACCAAGUCCAAACAAUGUUGGAACUUGAUCCCUGAGACACAUUUUGUGAGCAUGUCAGCUGGAUUAUUUGCGGUACCAAUCUUCUGUAGCAGAAUAUCCCCUUCAUCCACAAUUUCUCGAACAAAAUGAAAACGAACAUCGAUGUGCUUGGUACGGGAAUGAUGAACCUGAUUCUUUGCUAAACAAAUAGCACUUUGACUAUCACAAUGGACAUCCACGUGCUCUUGAACAAUUCCCAAAUCUUCAAUCAACCCAUGCAACCAAAUAGCUUCCUUGAAAGCUUAUGUUACUGCCAUGUACUCUGCCUCAAUUGUUGACAAAGCUACUGUUGAUUGUAAUGUUGACUUCCAACUUACAGGCCCUUUAGCGAGUGUAAACACAUAGCCUGUUGUGGAACGACGCUUGUCUAAGUCGCCAGCAUAGUCCGAAUCCACAUAACCAACUAAAUUUUGUCCGAGUCUAUCAUCCCUCUCAAACUUCAAACCAAUAUCAGUUGUGCCAUGAAUGUAUCUUAGAAUCCACUUAACUGCCUGCCAGUGACCCUUUCCCGAAUCAUGCAUAUACCUGCUUACCAUACUGAUAGCAUGUGAAAUAUCUGGUCUCGUACAAACCAUUGCAUACAUUAAUGCACCAACUGUAUUUGCAUAAGGAAUUUGAGCCAUAUGUUUGCGCUCUUCCUCUGUGCGUGGAGACAUUAAAGCACUUAGCUUAAAAUGAGGAGCUAAAGGUGUGCUUACAGGCUUGGUCUUACCAUCUACCCCAAAUCUCUGUAGAAUUUUCUUCAAGUAUUGGGUAUGUGUCAAACAGACUGUGCCUUUUCUUCUGUCUCUCUGAAUCUCCAUGCCAAGAAUCUUCUUAGCUUCUCCAAGGUCCUUCAUUUCAAACUCAGUUCUUAGUUGAGCUUUCAGUCUAUCAAUCUCCACCUUGCUCUUCGAUGCGAUCAACAUAUCAUCCACAUAUAAGAGCAAAUAGAUGAAAGAACCAUCGAGAAGUUUGCGAAAAUAUACAUAGUUGUCAAACUGACUCCGUGUGUAUCCAUAUUCUGUCAUGAACUUAUCAAAUCGCUUAUACCACUGAUGAGGAGAUUGUUUCAAUCCAUACAAUGACUUCUUCAGUUUACAAGCCCAAUUCUCUUUCCCAAUGACUUUGAAACCAUCUGGCUGAGACAUGUAAAUUUCCUCUUCCAAAUCUCCAUGUAGGAAGACAGUUUUCACAUCAAGUUGGGCUAACUCCAAAUCAAAUUGUGCAACUAAGGCUAACAGAAUACAAAUUGAUGAAUGCUUAACAACUGGAGAGAAUACCUCAUUAUAAUUUAUCCCCUCCUUCUAAGCAUAGCCUUUUGCUACCAAUCUUGCUUUGAAUCAGAUGUUGUCUUUUCCAGGAUUACCUUCCUUCUUGGCAUAUACCCACUUGCAACCAAUUGUCUUCUUUCCCUUAGGGAGUUGUACCAAAUCCCAAGUCUGAUUCUUGUGGAGAGAUUUCAUCUCUUCAUCUAUUGCCUCUUUCCAUUUUGCACUUUCUACACUCUGUACUGCUUCUUUGUAGGUGUAGGGGAUUCCAUCAUCAAUCACUGGAAGUGCAUAAGCCACCAUGUUACAAUACCGAGCAGGUUUCUUGAUAACCCUUUUUGGUUUACUCGUUGCAAUGGAUUCUUGUUAUGUGGUUGCUGGAGUUAUUGCAUCCUCUUCAUCUGAACUUUCAUCUGAAUCUCCUUCAGUAGGGAUUGUCUGAACAGUCUUUACAGGAAUGACUGAAGUAUCCAACUCCACCUGUUGUGCAUCACCAGAUUGUUUUUCCUUCUCCUGUGAUUUCUCUUGUUGUAACAUGCCAGACUUGUUGUAACCCAUUUUUGGGUCCCCACAAAAUAUAUAUAAAAAUAUAUAGCCAAAAGAGGUUAGAAAAAUAACAGGAGGCAGAAGCGCUCAGAAAAUGGUUGGAAAAUCGGUCAAUGAGGUUAAAAAUACAAAAAUUGGAUUUUUGACAGUAUAUUCUUGAAGGAGGAGAACCCUGUUGAGAAGGAAAAUUUGAAUUUUGAGGAGAAAAGCCCAAAUUUGGAUGUUUAUGGACUUAAUUGGAUUUUUAAAUGAAUUUAUAGGAGAUUUGAUUGUAAGAAAAAUUGAUUUUUAAGUCAAUUUGGGCUUUAAUUAGAAGAAAUUUAAGUUCUGGGGCCAAAAUAUAUUUUUUAGGAAUUUAUUAGGUCAAAUCAGGGGCUUAAUUGCAUAAAUAUUGAAGUUUAAGGGCCAAUUGGGGACUUAAUUGAAGGAAUCCGAAACCAAGGACCAAAUUGGAGAAGGCGCGUAAGUAUAGGGGCUGGAAUUAAUUGAUUCAGGGGCCUAAUUGAAGAAAUUGGAAGUUUAUUGAUCAAUUAAGGGCUCAAUUGCAUAAUUCAGAGGCCAAGGACCAAAGUGAAAAACGCGGCCAAAUAUAGGGACGGGGUUCGAAUUGGCAGGGAUGCAAUUGAAGAAAAAAAAGAUGAUUGAGGGCUGAUUUGAAAUUUGGCGCGUUUUGGCGCCACAUUUAAAUGAAACGGCGCGUUUUCUCCAAAAUGACGCCGUUUCAUACAUUCAAAAAAAAAAAAAAGAAGAAAGAGCAGAACGGUGUCGUUUUGAACGACACUGUUCAUCUUCUUCCCCCGAUCACGCAGCGGGGAAGAAGGAAAAAAGGGUUGCUUUUUUUUGAAUUUUUGCCGGCCACUCUCGCCUAGAGCCCACCGACCACCCACCGCGCACCUGCCAGAAAACCGAGGAGGGGGGGGCCGAACCUUGGCAGUCGCGCCCAAUGGCCGACCGGCCGGUUGCUCCCCAUGCUCCACAGCGAAAAGGCCACACCCUUGGCUCUAUAAAUGGAACCUCAAGAACGCUGAUGAAAAGGAAGAGUGGAGGGGGAGAAAGAAACGGAAAAAAACAGAGGAGAGGGGUGGAGAACGGAAAAAACCGAAAGAGAGAGAAAGGGGAGAGGAAUAAGAGUGAACCGAAAGAAAAGAGAAGGGACAGGGGAAAGAAAACCAAAGGAAAGAGGAAGAAUCCCUCUCUCCACCGCUUGAGACAGCAGCGCCGCUGUUUGAAGCUGCCUCCAGUGAGCAGCGACACCGUUACCCGUCUCCGCCUCCAGCAGCACCAGCACCAGCACCGCCUCCAGCAGCACCAGCACCAGCAGCACCAGCAACGACAGCGCCACCACCUCCUCCGCGCCAGGUAACCCUUCUUCUCCCUCAUUCUUGCGUUUUUUUUUGUUUUUUUUCUUCUUUUCCUCUGCAUGCAGAACGAAUAGCGUUCUGCAUGCAGAAGCGGGGGGAAAAUAAUUCCCCCCGCCCGUUUUGUUGCUGGGCCAGGUUGAUCCUGGCCCAGCCCAGUCAUCUGGGCCGGGUCUGGCCCAGAAGAGUUUUUUUGGGCCGAGAUCGGCACAAUACAUUUUUGGGCCGACAUCGGCCCAUCAUUGUUUUGGGCUGAGUCCGGCCCAGUGAUUUGGGCCGGCCCAGCCCGAUUUAAUAUUAUAUUUUAUAUAUAUAUUAUAUUUUGUAUUAUUUAUAUAUAUAUAUAUAUAUAUAUAUACAUGAAAAAAUUAUAAAAAUUAUGCAAAAAUUAUAGAAAAAUAUAUGUGAUUUUGUUGUAAUUUAUUACUGUAUUUUGAUUAAUAUUGGUUGGUAUUUUAUACUGUAAAGAUACAAAAUCCGGUAUUAAAAUACCCGGUUUUCAAAAAAUGUCUUUUGCUUUCAAAAAUUUUCUAAAAAUAUCUUUGAAAAUAUUGUUGAUUUUUCUGCAUUUGUUUUAUCAAAGUGGAUUAAUAUUUGGUUGUAUUUUUAUACCGUAUUAAAAUACCCGAUUUGCGUCAAAAUAUACAAAAAAAUACAUAUUUAAAAACAAUGUUUUGUUUUAAAAUACGGCCUAGUCUCUCCAAUAUAUAUAUAUAUAAAUAUUAUAACAUCAUAUUUUCACACAACAAAAGAAAUUUCAAAACAAUAUAUGUAUUAGCACGCAUUUUGGCUUUAAUAACCAGUUUAUUCAAGCCAUGAGAACUAGGCCAAUAUUUCAAAAAAAUUUAAAAAAUCUUAUUGUCUUUGGGAUUACUAAUUUAUACAUAAAACAUUUUCCUGACAUUAAAAAUAUGUUUUUUACAUAGACAUUAGAACGGUUAGGUUUUAUCCGAUAAGAUAAGGACCUCCUUAUUGAGGAGGACUUUUCUUGAACCAUAAACGGACCAACAACUAGGAAACACAACGAAACCUUGAAUUUUAUCAGACAAAUAAACAAUGCAGCUUACCUUAGGUAGGGCGUAUUUGGGGUGCUAAUACCUUCCCUUUACGCAACCAGUCCCCGUACCCAAUCUCUGAGACCAGUUAGGGUUCCUAGUGACCAAAAUACUAGGUGGCGACUCCCACACCAUUUUUCACUGCUAAGAGACAACGAAUUCCUUGUCUCCCCACAUUGACCAGAUUUACCCCCCCAUUACAUUCAUUGAGGGUGGACGAUCAUCGCGACGUCGCGCACGUGCGACAAGACUCAUCAAAAGUGACAUCUCUACUCAAAAUCACUUUCUUUGAUUCAGAACACCAGAGUCUGUAGCCUUUUACUCCUCCACUAAAGCCCAAAAAUAUAGCUUUCUUGGCUCUAGGAUCUAGCUUGGACUCAGUAACAUGAUAAUAUGCUGAGCAACCAAAUAUACGCAUAGAGUCAUAAUCAUUUGCAAGAGAGCCUGACCAUACCUCCAAGGGGGUUCUUCCAUUUAAUAUUGCUGAAGGUAACCAGUUAACAAUAUGACGAGCAUAGCUUAAUGCCUCGCCCCAGAACACUUUGCUUAGUCCCGAAUGUGAUAGCAUACAUCAAACUUUCUCCACCAAUGUACGGUUCAUGCGUUCUGCUACUCCAUUCUGUUGUGGUGUUUUGCGAACAGUAAAAUGUCGCUUGAUCCCUUCAUUCUGACAAACUUCAAAGAAAGGAUCUGAAGUGUACUCAUCACCAUUAUCUGAUCGAAGAGUCUUAACUCUCCUUCCAGUUUGAGUCAUCACCAUUUUCUUCCAUUUUAGAAAGAUAUCAAAGGAAGGAUCUGAAGUGUUUCAUCAUGUACACUGUCGCACCCUCCCGAGAGCUCGACGUCGCGGCGACACUUCCUCCGUAGCGGGGAUUCGAUGUUGGGGUCUUUCUGUUGUGAAAAAGGGAGUCGCCACCUAGUAUUAUGGUCACUAGGAAACCUAACUGGUCUUUCAGAGAUUCUAAGGCAAGGGACUGGUUGCGUAAAGGGAAGGUUUUAGCACCCCUAGUACGCCCUACCUAAGGUAAGCUGCUUGGUGUUUGAUUUGCCUUAUAAAUGUUAUGGUGUUGAUGUUCUCUAAUCCCAUCAGUUUCCUAGGAUAAGUAUGCUCUGAUGAAUGAAAUCUAGGGUGCUUUAAAAACCUAUUUUUUCGUCUCGUAAACCGUGGAGUAAAAAAAUUGAAAUGUCCUCGAUUAUAAUCAAGGCUUCUUUCAAGGAUUUGUGCGGAUUUAUUAUUCCUAGAAAAUUAUUUUGGAUAUUUACCACUUCGGGUUUCUUUAUCCAAAUAUUAACAGUGAAUAAUAACAAAUUAUUCCCAAUAAUAUUUUGGAUAUUCGUCCUUUAAGGAUUUCUUUAUCCAAACAUUAGCGGUGAAUAAUAGAUGAAUUCCCCCAAAAUAAGAUUUUUAUAUUUUUUGGAAUAUUGGCCAAUACCCUUUGGAGUUUUACAAACAUGUUGUAAAAUCCAGAAAUGCAAGAAAAAUGAUUUUUGUUGUGUUUAAGAAAUCCAUGCGAAAACACAUUUUCAAAGCUUCAAAUAUUUGUUUUUUAUAUAUAAAAAACAUAAAAACAAUGUUAGGGUAUUGACCGUAUGCAGGAAAACAAAACAUUUUUUAUUUUAUAUUUUUUUGAUGUCUCGACGAAAACCGGGUAUUUUCAUACCGGACAUGUAUCUUUACCAUAAAAAAAACAAGCAGAUAUUGAUAAACAAUGCAUCAACAAACUUUCAGAAAAUCACAUGUUUAAAUAAUUCUUUGAAGCAAAUUUUCCGAACAGGCCAGACCCGGCCCACAAAGAGACUGGGCCGAAAUCAGCCCAACAUAAAAUGGACCCACUUUCUACAGCCCAGCCCAAAACAACAUAGAUGGGUUGUUGUCCACUAUACAGUAACCUGGUACUGUUCACCUGCCUAGUAACCCGUUACUGUUCAAGUGAAUUAAAUUUCACUUGAAUAGUGCAAACACAAAGCAAAAAAAUGCACGUAAUCAAAGCUGACGGGUUACUGUUCAAGUGAAUUAAUUCACUUGAACAGUGUAAAUGCAAAGAAAACCAAUGCACGCAAAGGGUGACGAGAACAAACCUGGAGACGAAAAAGUUGUCUGCGUUCGUCUGUUUUAAAUCUUUUCCUCCGGUCCGCGUCUGUUUUUCCUGUUUUUCCUUUCCUCUAUGCCAUCGUCACUCUCUCUCCCGGUUUUCUGCUCUUUCUUCUUCCCUACUCUGCAGAUGUUAUAUGUAAAAAAUUGAAAGCAAAGACCGAAAGAGAUGAUGAGCUGGUGCGGUUGGUGGUGUUGCUGCGGCUGCUCUUCCUCCUCUCUAGUGUUGCUGCUGCUGCCUUUCCUCCUCGUCUGUGCAGAUGCUGGUGCGGUUGGUGGUGUUGCUGCUGCUGCCUUUCCUCCUCGUCUGUGCAGAUGCUGGUGCGGUUGGUGGUGUUGCCGCGGCUGCUCUUCCUUCCGGUGUGGCUGCUGCUGCUGGGAUGGAGGAGAUGAUGAGGUCGUUGGCAGCGCUGGUGCGGCUCCUGGCGUUGCUGCUGCUGCUCUCCUCCUGGUGUUGCUGCUGUUGCUGGUAUGGAGGAGAUGAUGAGGUUGUUGGCAGCGCUGGUGCGGCUCCUGGUGUUGCUGCUGUUGCUCUUCCUCCUGAUGUGGCUGCUGGUUCGGAUGUAGAAGAUGCGGUGCAAACAGGGGUGAAAACCUUUGCUUUACUGCCUUUGAAACCUGAAGAAAGCCUUCCUUCUUUUCCUCUCUCGUUCUCUUUUUUUUUCUAUGCCAACCCUCUCUGCUCUUUACUCUUCUCUUCGCCUCCUCCUCCCUCUGCUGGAAGAAGAAGAAAGCAGUCUGUUAUAUAUGCCAGAACCGGAGACCACCCUCACAUUCUUUCAUCUCCACCGUCUCUGUUUAGGGAAACAGUCCCAGUCCUUAGAUGAUGAUGAGGGCGUUGGCAACGUUUGGCAGAGAAGGCUGUUUCGUGUGCAGGGAAGAAAUGGCCGAGAGAGGGGAAUGGCCAAGGGGGGGAACUGGUUUUGGGUGUUCUAUCUUUCUCGUUCAAAAACUGAACUCUCUCCCUUCCCUCCAAAAGAACCAACUCUCCCCUCUCUCCUCUUUUCAAAAAAACUCUCCCCCCUGCUCUCCUUUGUUUUCUUUUCUCCCGUUCAAAAACCAAAACCUCUCUUCCUUCCCUUUUUUUCUUUUCCUUUUAACUCCCAAAAUCUCUCUGUUAUUUUGUUCUCUCUUCCCCCUGUUUUCUAUUCUUCCGUUCACAACUGAACUCCUCCUCUUUUCUCUCGGUUUUUUUCUUUUUUUUUCUCUUCUUUGUUCUCUCUUCCCCCUGUUUUCUAUUCUUCCGUUCACAACUGAACUCCUCCUCUUUUCUCUCGGUUUUUUUCUUUUUUUUUCUCUUCUUUGUUCUCUCUUUUCUUUCUUCCCUACUGUCUUCUGUUCACAACUGCUCUCCUCCCUCCUCCCUCCAAAAAAAAAACCUGGUAGCUGCUAAUAACAGUAUAUAUAGGUGAAGGGAGCGGGGCCAGCAGCAUGCGCAUGGGGAGCAGGGGACACCAAACCAGGGCAGCCUGCGCUGCUCCCACGCCUGCAGCUGCUCGCACGCCUGCGCUGCUCCUACGCCUGCAGCUGCUCCCCACUCCUGAGGGUCUCGGGCAGCGGCAUGCACAUGGGAGGAACAAUGUCUCAAAAUGACACUGUUUCGGGUUCUGCUCUCUAUAAUUAAUAUUAUGUUUGCAGGUAGCCAAAAACAUGCGGCAGAAAUUUCACUUUCUCAUUAGAUAUUCAAACAUGCAUAUCUUGAGUUUCUGAUAUCGAAAUCCAGCGAUUCAAAAGCUAAAAUUCAUCUAUGUGUGUAGGACUACAACUUUCAUGAAGGAUUCAAGGUGAGAUAUAAUCGUUUUACCGGACAGAAUCGGGCCGCAAAACUGGUCGGUAAAAAUAGUCUCCUGAUCCGAUUCAAAAACUGACGAAUGUCGAGCAUCCCGAUAUGAUUGAGAGUAUCCUAAGAAUGAACCAGAAAAAUCGUGAUGGCAGCAGAAAUUUCAGUGCAAAACUUGAGUCAAAAUCCUGCUCGCGGCAGAAUUCUCUACUUUCACGUCAGAUAUUCAAACAGGAAUAUCUCGAGCUCCUGAUAUCGAAAUCAAGCGAUUCGAAAGCCUAAAUUUACCUAUGCGUCCAGGACUACGACUUUCAUGAAGGAUUCCAGGUGAGCUAUAAUCGUUUUAUAGGAUAUAAACGGGUCGCAAUCUGGUUGGUCAAAAAGGUUCUCCCGAUCUAAAUUCAGGAAACUGACAAUGCCAAGCAUCCUAGUUCGACUGAGAGUCUGCCAUAAGAACAGUGAGCUCUAGGACCCAAUAAAGGUGUAGGUCCAUUUUUCAACAUGUCAUGAGUGACAGAAUAUAGCUGGGAUGGUCAGAUAUUGCACGAAACCAAGUCAAAAACAGGGCCUAAGUUGGAACAAAAAAGAUUGCGGCAGCAGCAGAACCAGGUUUUUUAUUUCCACUUUUGAGGGAUUUAUUCACCCUUAAAGACCCUAUAAAAAGGAAUGAAUUUGGCAUUAUGAAGACUUCUGAUCAGUCUAAGAAAACCUGAUGAUUUUGGCAGCAAAGGGGAAGGAUAAAAAAGAGCAGAAAACAUCUCAAACAGAGUUUUUGAAAAAAUAUUUCUUUCAUUUGCUUUUGUCAAUCUUCCAGCAAACAUGAGGUCCAAAAAUGAGUAACAACAUACACCCAUACUCGUCUUGAGAAAUCAUCAAUGAAAGUAACAAACCAACGAUUACCUCCAAGAGAUUCAUUCUUUGAAGUUCCCCAUACGUCUGUGUGAACAUAAUCUAGGAUCCCUUUUGUGUUGUGUACCGCAGUGCCAAACUUGACCCUUGUCUGUUUUCCAAAAACACAAUGCUCAUAGAACCCAUGCUUCCCAGUCUUGGCGCCUUUUAAUAGACCUUGCUUGACCAAUCCUUGCAAAGCCUGUUCACCAGCAUGCCCUAAGCGCAUGUGCCAAAGUUUGGAAUUAUCUGCUUCAUCAUCAUCUAUGCUUUUGGAAACAGCUGUUGUACCAGUAACUAUAGAUCCAUCCAGGAAAUAUAAGUUUCUUAUCCUCGUGCCUCUUAAGACAACUAAUGCACCACAGAUUGCUCUGAGGACUCCACCAUGCAUGAUAAUCUUAUAACCACUGGAUUCUAGGACUCCAAGUAAGAAGAGAUUUUUCUUCAAGUCAGGAACAUACCGUACCUCUGUUAGUGUCUUGACUACCCCAUUAUGCAUCUUCAGAUGGAUAGUCCCAAUCCCUUUGAUCUCACUAACAUCAUCAUUACCCAUCAACACAACUCCUCCAUCGAACUCCUCGAGUCUCGAGAAUAAGUGCUUGUUAGGGCACAUGUGAUAGGAACAUGCAGAAUCAAGAAUCCAUUCACCAGAAUGGUUUUCUGGUGAUGAGACCAUGAAUGCAGAGUCUCGUUCAUCCUCAUCUCGUGCAACAUUCACAGCUGGUUCAUCUUUUUCCUUGUUGCCCUUGAUUGGACAAUCUUUCUUCCAAUGCCCUUUUUGUGACAAAAGGCACACUCAUCUUUUGCAAGAUAUUGUCUGUUUGAUGAUUCUCCUUUGGAUUUUGAGCGAGAUCUCCCUCGCCCUCGAAAUCUUCUGGUGUUUGUUCUGCCUCUAACUGUCAAUGCUUCUGACAUUGACUCCUUGUGAACAAUCUGGUCCUUCUUCCGGUACUCAUUGUUCACUAAAGCAUUUGACACAUCAAUGAAUUUAAUCUUUUCUUUACCAUACAGUAAAGUGGUGACGAGAUGUUCAAUGUGUCAGGCAGUGAAUUCAAUAACAACAGAGCUUUAUCUUCAUCAUCGAUUUCCACAUCUAAAUUCUUCAAAUCAGCUAUUAUUUUAUUGAAAUCAUUUAGAUGCUCAUUCAUGGAAGUACCUUUCUUGUGCUGAAAAUGGAAGAUCCUUUUCUUCAAGUAGAGACGAUUCUCUAUACUCUUCUUCAUAAACUUGUCCUCCAGUGCUUGCCAUAAUUCCUUUGCAGAGUUUUGUUCUGAAAAGGCGUACUUCUGAUCCUUUACAAGACAAAGUCGGAUGGAACUGCAAGCCAACCGAUUUAUCCUUUCCCAACUUUUAUCAUCCAAAUCCUCCGGUUUAUCUUCUAGAGUGAAAUCCAAAUUCAUUUGGACAAGCAUAUCCAUGACUUCACAUUUCCACAUGCCAAAAUUACAUUUCCCAUCAAACUUCUCCACCUCAAAUUUGGUACUCGAUACCGGGAUGUAUUGUGGAGGUAUACUAGCAUUUCCCGCUGAUCUUUCUUCUGGAAUAUCAGCCAUUAGGACGUCUUUAGAUUACAAAUGGACUCCCGAAAUUGUUAAAACACACAUUUUUAUGCUCAAAAGUGCCAAAACAGUAACUUCAGUGUGCUGUUUCACAAAACGGACACCACGGUUGCGUCCGGAAUGGUUGAAAAUGCUAGGAACCAACUUGACUCGACCUAAAACAGGUCAAAAAAUCACUGAGUUGGCCAAAAAACCAAUCUGACCGAAUUAACUCAGGGAAGGAAUAUUCUGUCUCCGAUAAAAAAUAUUCUGUCACGGGAAUAUUCUCUUACUGUUAACGGAAUAUUCUUAUUCUGUCAAGAGAAUAUUCUGUCACUAUCAGAUGACGUGGCUGAUGACAGGCGAUGUGGACCCUCUGUUGAUGACGUGUAUGAUGACUCAACGCCUACGUGUCAGAUGACGUGGAUGUCUUCUCAGGCGAGAAUUCCGGCACUGUCUAGUUUUUCCGGUAGAUUUCAGGUAAAACUUUGGCGAGCUCUACAGGGCUCGUUUCAACUCCGAUUUUGAUGAUCUUUAUAUUGCCGGACUCGUAUCGAUGAGAGGAAUCUCCGCAGAUGGUCAAAAUCAAGAUCUGAGAACUUUGAAAAUUCUGCAACUUUAAACAGAGAGCUGAAAAAACGUGUUUUUCUGUGUUUAAGCUUCCCUAAUGCUCUGAUACCAAUUUGUUGUGCAUACUGGACCGAAAACAAACACAAAUAAAAACACAAACAAGCAAAUUUACGUGGUUCCUCAAAACCGGGUACGUCCACGGAGACAGCAGAUUGUAUAUUAUUGAAGGAAUGAUAUAAACACUCAACACAACCCAAUACAACCCCACAAAACCCAGUGUUUCACUCUUACGCUCGGUGUUUUUCUCAAAUCUGUACUUGCACUCACUCUCACAGUUGCACUGUCUUCCUCUCUCUGCACACACUUGCACUGUCUCUGUACUACUCUCUGCACUCUCUCGUCUCUGUCUCUAUUUAUACAAGAAAGAAGAGUCUUGGCAGCAACCCAUGUACAGCCUAAUAAAUGCCAACCAACUACUACAAGAAGAAAGUCAUGGUUGUUGGAAAAAAGGUUGACAAAUUUGCUACAGUUACUUCCGGUUGCGCAAACACUAAAAGCUUUAUAAUCUUUAAAGCCUCUUCGUCUUGGCCAUUUUCAAGUUUUUGUAGUAAAAGUGAUUUAAGAGACUCGAUCGCUUCAACAUUAGAUUCAAGAAAUGCUUGUAAUGGCGUUGAUGGGUCACUUUGGUUCUGGUCUUGAUGUUUCUCUAUAUCUACCUCUUCUUCUUCUUCUUCGAGGGCCGGGUUUUCUUCAGUGAGAGCGCGGGGGUUAACUUAUUUUACUAUUUUUAAAUUUUUGCAAGUACGUUUAGAACGAGGCUGCAAUUAACGUAUUUUUAAAUGGUCAUUGAUGAGAUUGUGACAUGUACGAAAACAACGAUGAACCCAAAAUCAAAUGGAAAAUAAAAAUAAAAAUCGGUAAAUCUUCUAUUAUUUGCGUGUUAGUUUUUUGUUGGAGAUUAUCUCUUAAGCAACCAUACAACUGAAUGAUGUAUUCAUAAAAAAUCAUUUUCCUAUCUUAAUCUCUGUGCUUUUUAUGAAAUAAUUAGUUUAUUUUAUUUUAAUUUUUUACUUAAUCUUACUCUUACUUUUCCUUGAUAAUUUAAUUGUUUUUUUUUUAUUUCUUCUAAAAUAUCCUUCAUUUCUAGUCAAUUUUUCAAUCUCACCUCCUAAAAAAUAAAAAAUACUUAAAAAUGGAAGUUCAGAUAUUUUACAAAAAGUUAACAGUCAACUCAUAUCAAGCACCUACAAUUUUACAAUGGCGGAGAUGAGUAUAUCAUAGGAUCAUAAAAGGAUAUUUUUUACCAUAGUUUCAUGUUCCUAGCCUCUUUGUACCACAUUCGGAACAGAACUUGGAGGUUUCUCUUAGAUAUGGAGCUCCACAUUCAUCACAAUACUUCGGUGGACUCGUCGGCUGCAGUUUGGGAAAGGUUAGUAAACACACUACUGUCAUGUUCUACGUAAAACUUAAACGCACUUUUCAACUAUUUUUAUGGCAUAAUGCACAAAGAAAAAGAGAUGGAAAUAUUAAAAAAAAAUAAAAAUGAUUUAAUAUCUUAUCCCCACUAAAUAAUAACAGCAAGUGCCUCAAGAACAAUUUUCAUCAGAGGUACCAGUUAGCUUUGUCUGGGUUCCAAGCAAGCUCCAACUAUCCGCUCCUGAUAUGCUGGCAUUGCUCAACAGUCUAAUCGGAUAGAGGCAUGCCAAUCUCCAGCGCUAUUUUCACAUCCUAUUUCGAUUUCCCUUUUUAAAGUCAUGGAGUUUUUUUAUUGAAAUUCAAGAAGAAAAUAGAGGUCUUCUUCUUCUUCUUCUUCUUCUUAAUCUUAACACUUUUAAAAAAUGAGGAGAAUUCUUGUAUAUUUAUCUGCUUUUAAGAGAAAUUACCUUUCUUUGCUUUUCUAUAGAAAUUCGUUAGUCCUUCAUUUUCUCUUAUUCCAACAACCUUAAAUUUGUCCGCUAGUGUAAUUUCUAUGCUCUCAUGUUGCUCCAUUAGAGCAGACAUUUGAGAGUGGUGGGUAGAAGAAAUCGUGUUAGAGAGUGUGGUGUUGAUAGAGCUUGUGAAAUUUUAAUGGGCAGCUCUAGUUUCGAAUUGUAUUCAUAAUAAUCAUAAUAUGGAGAAAGCCCUCGAAAACUUAGGUUAGAGCUGAUUACUGACUUGGUCCUUGAGGUGCUCGAUAGGCUUAAUUUCGAGGAAAAGAUUGCGUUCAGGUUCUUUAUGUGGCCAGGGCAUCAAGAGAAUUAUUCCCAAGAGCCUUAUGCUUGUAAUGAAAUGUUGAUAUUUUGACUAGUACGAAAUAUAAGAAGCAGCAGUUUCGAAUAGUCUGUGGCAUGUUUGAUUACUUGAAGAGGAAUAACAAGAAUGUGGUUCCUGCUGAGUUUUUGUAACCAUUAUGAGGAGUUAUACCGAGAAGUAUCUGACCGAGUCCAGAAUUAAUUCGCCAAGAAGAAGAGGAUAAGGGUCAAGUGCAGCCCGUAAUGAAUGCCUUUAACUUGUUGGAUGCUUCAUGCAAUUGUAUUUUGGUCGAGGAUGCCGAUGCAUUGUUUAAGACGGUGAAGGACAAGGUUAAGCCUGAUGCUAAUACUAAUUACAAUUAAUGUAUUGUUUUUUCGCUGGUGUGGAGUUAGGAAUCCGACUAGAGGAAUGAAGGUUUGGAGCAAAUGAUCCAGCUUGGCCAUACCCCUGGUAGUUUUACAUACACAACUUCCAUUGAUGCACUUUGCAGGCUUUAUGAGAGAAUGAUUGAAGUGGGUUGCUUUCGUAGUGUCCAGACUUGUAAUAUGCUGAUCUCAAUGUUUUUGAAAUGGGUGAUGUUGAUGGGGCAUUUGAGGCUUGGCAUGAGAUGGAUAAGAGAGGUUGUGCACAGGAUGUUGUUGAUACUUGUAUUCUGAUGCUCGAUCGAUGGGCUUUUCAGUUACAAUAAAGUAGAGGAUGCAUGUUUUCCGGUAGAAGAUAUCGUGAAAUUUCCAUAUCAGAAAUUUGACUCUUUUCUGAUGCAGCUUUCAGUGAUUGAUAAUAGCUGAGCCAUCCACAGGCUCUAAGAGCACACGAGGACAUUCUAUAACCAUCCCAUGGCAAGACGCUUUGCACUAAAUGAAAAAAGAACCAGCUUGAGCAUCAGAGGGAAGUAAGGCAAUAUUUUAAAUUACCUAGAAAAGUAAUGAAACAUGCUUAAUGUUCUUAUUGAUUGUUGCAAUAAUUUAAGUUGCACAUGAGAUUCCUCGUACGAGUAAAUUAGUUUUGAGGAAAGGUUUAUCAUCCUGGGCUGCGAACAAACUCCUUCAGCGCUAAGUAUUCUACCGACAAAGAUUGCAGUUAACGAGAAAAGAUAGUGCGGCCUUUAACCAAAAAAAAAAAAAAAACACUAGUGAUCAUUAUUAACUUAAAUUAAGGAAAAAAUAAUAGUACAAGUAAGUAAUCAUGCUAUUCCAAAGUGUUACAUUUUCUAAUAUUACAAAGGAUUUCGAGAUUCAUUGGCAUGCCCAUGUUAUGUCAUUGGACGACAGUGUUUCGUCAUUCUAUGACAACAUCCAUGAAAACAUUAUAAAGUUUUAUAUAUCGUAUAUGGGAGGCCCUAAUAUCUCUGAUUUUAUAUCCACUGUAUUUCAUUGGCAUGCUCCAUAAUUAUUACAAGAUCAUAUAUGCAUUCCAUUCCACCAGAUGCAAUAAAUCACGAAUCGAUCCAUCAUUAUUGUUUUGCGUGGUAGCUCCAGUCGAUAUCCAAAAAUCGCUAAUCCAGUAAUAAGAAAGCAAAUAACAGAGAUCGAGCCCCUGCAGCAAACCCAGCUAGAGCAUUCGGGAAUGGCAAACCCAGCACAUUAUUUGGUCGAGUGCAUGCGGAUGUUUUCUCAGGAAUGUGAGUGGAGUUUCCUGCCAUCUUCUUGAAGAGAUUUCUUUGCUUACCAAUCCGACAAGACCUCGACCAAAAAAAUCCUAGUCGGAGUCCAUUUCAACAAAUGUAAUAACCAGGAAUGCCAGAAUAUACUUGAGAUUUUAAUAUUUCAUUUAAAAAAAUUGAAAAGAUAUUAUAUUUUUAUUUUAAAUUAAAUUAUUUAAACAAAAAAUAUUAUAUAUAUAUAUAUAUAGUCGUUUAAAUAAAAUAUUAUUUAAGUGUUUACUGUAAUAUAAACUAAUAACCACCACCACCAACAAAAAGAAUAGAACCACGCGUAUAAGAUGCCAAAACAAAAGGAAUAUAAACUAAUAACCACCAAAAAGAGAAUCGAAUCACGCGUAUAAGAUGCCAAUCAAAAUUCUACGUGCUGAAACCGCUACGUGCUGUGAAAAUUCUUUUAGACACUCACGCCCUUAGCCCAUCAAAAUUUUACACGCGGUUCGCUUGUAUUCAUAAAUUUAUUUUUAGUUUGUUAAGAAAUAAAAUGUAAAUAAAAAAACAAAUUCGUACGGGAUCGCCCGAGUUUCUACUUUCUCGAGGCAAAUUACAGAAUGCAGACCUAGAUUUUUACCUCUCGAGACCCGGCUCGUAUCCCGGGUCAACCAGCCUGAUAGACAUGUGUAUGGCAAGUGUCAUCCGCAUAUUUGUUCUUUUACUGGCCUUAUAUUUUUGCCUUUUGUCAAUGACGAGCUCGUCACUGUCAUGAUGACAAUAUUCGAUUCAUUCGUCCGUUUCACACAUCCGUGUCAUUUUUCGUUUCACAGCAAAAACCUUUUUCCGAACAAACCUUGAAGAAUCCUUCCAAUACUUUGGACGAGCUGAUAUCGGUUAAUAUAUACUCUAAACUCUUAUCAAUACUGAUUAAAUUUAAGACUGCAUCUUGAAAGUGUGAUUUUGCAUUUUUAAUCUCGGAGUUGAUAUCUGGCUUUAUAUCCAAUAAUAAAAUAAUUUAAUAUUAAUAUAUUUAAGUUCAUUUAAGAAAACCGUUUGAUUGUGAAAUAAAAACCUUCGCCACCCAAUUAACUACCUAAAUUAUAUAUAUAUAUAAAAAAAAUCCUUGUAGAUGUUCAAGAGUUUUUUUUUUUCAAAUAAAAAAGUUAUCCAGUCAUAAUUAUUUUAUUCAUUUUUUAAUUUCUUAUAUUAAAAAAUUGCUUAUUUAUUUUGAAAUAAAAAAACUACAUAUAUCUUUUAAUAUUUUAUAUAUUUUGAAUUGUUCAUAAUAAUUUAAUUUAAUUUUUUUAUAAAGUUAUUACAACUUUAAAAAAACAUCAUAACAUUGAUUUGAUUUGUUACACCGAAAAAAAUUUAAUCCAACAUGACACGGAAAGUAGCAUGACUUAAAUUAAAAAAAAAAAUACACAUAGAUGUUGAAGAAUUUUUUUUUAAAAAAAGUUAUACAACUUACUUCAGAGGAGUUACAUUAUUGAUAAAAGAAAACAAAUUCUCAGAAACUAACCAUGAUUCGGGAGAAAAUUUAUAAUGCUCUGACUAAUGAAGUUCAAUGGUUGGAAUUUCAAAAAAGAAAAGUUAUACGGUAUACGGUAUCUCUGUCUUGUAUUCUUUCGGUGAUGUCAAUUCCAUUUCCAUGUGGAAAAGGAGCGCAAGAAAAAAAAAAAAAAAAAAAAAAAGAGGAGCUUUUUUAAGUCAAGAAAGGAACCAGAAUACGAGAAGACUUGUUUCCUGUGACUGCCUUUUUCUUUCUCAAUAAUAAAGAAGCAACACUCCCUCUUACCUAUAAUAAAGGCAACACAGAGAUGGAUAAUGCUUGUCUAUUUCUUUCUUUCUUUUUCUCUUUGAAUCCAUAGCCAGGGAGCCUCCGUACUGCAUUGUAUAGUCAAGGUUAUUCUUUUCUUUCCUUCGGUGUUUAUACCUGUUUCUUUGUGGCGAAGGAACUCCCCCCCACCUUUUUUCCUUCCUUUAUAAGUUUGAAAGUAGGAAGCUCUUUUCAUCAUCGCAGAUAAACGAGAAAUUGAUGAUGGAAAGAUCAGAGAGUUCAAGCAAGAUGAUGAAGAAGAAAGAAAUUCCUAAUGAUCGUGGCUUCGUUGACACCAUUUUUUCAUGGUCUCUUGAGGAUAUUUUCAAUGAAAAUCUUUUCAAGGUUUUUACCUUUUCUACCUUCCAUUUUCAUCAUUCUCUCUUUAGUUAUUUAUUUUGUAAAAUUACAUUGCUGGUAUGCGUUUAUUAUUUGCAGCUUUUGGAUUAUUUUACUGAGCAGUGAAUUGACAUUUCCUUUAUUAAACAACUUCUUGAUUUAAGAAAAGUAUUUGGUUUUUACAUCGAUAGUGGGUUAGACCCUUACAAGUCCAUUCCAUUUUGAAUUGCACAUUGCUUGCCCUGAACGUAAGCUGAGGCAGAGCAGCUCCAACUUACCAUAAAAAUGAAGAGUUUUGGAAAUUCUUUUAAAAAUGGAGUUUGUUCUUGCAUGCAUGCUUGGUGUCAAAACAUUUUUUAGGAGUUGACAAUUCGUAGCUGUUUAGAUAAAUGUGUUAGUCUUAAUGCUACUACAUGAUAGAUUAAUUGUGCCAAAACUCUUGACAUGGAUACUCACUUGUGUAUUUGUUGAGCAUGUGAUGUGAUGCAAUGGCGCAACCUGUUAAAUAAAUGUGUAAUUUGAUUAUACAAUUAAAUAUUGUUCAGUGUUGUUUAUAUUUUUGUGAAAGCUCCUCAACUUUGAAACUAGCCGCUGUGUUCCCUGGAAAUAAUUUUGUUGCAGUUGAGCUGUCCUCGCAUCGUGUAAAGAGAUUAGAUUAUUGUAGCAGCCGAAUAUUUAAAGAUAGCAUGUUUUGAGGUGCCUUCAUGUCCUUUGAAUGACCUCGUGUUUUGCUUUCCUUUAUAGGUGGAAAAUAUUCCAGAGUCAUAUUACUCGGUUGAGCAUUAUCUUGGAUCAUAUGUAAUUCCUUUGUUGGAAGAAACCCGUGCACAAUUGAGCUCAAGCAUGGAUAUUAUAUCCAGAGCACCGUUUGCUGAAAUGGUUGCUUUCUUUGAGGCCAAGCCCCACGGCACAUUAUUGUAUGAUGUUAAUAUUGAUUAUUGGAGAAACAGAUGCCGUGGCAGUGGCAAGGAGCAUUACAAAACAUUGCCCGGCGACAUCGUUAUUUUAACAAGCGCUAAACCUGAAAAUGUCUCUGAUUUGCAAAGGGUUGGAUGGACAUGGACAUUUGCUGUGGUCACCAGUAUAACAGGAGAUGAGACCGAGGAUGCUGCUACAUAUACUUCUUUCACAGUCAAGGCGCAAAAAGACAUUGAAAUUAGUGAUGGACUGCAGAAAUCACUUACUGUGAUUUCAUUGACUAAUAUAACAACUAGCAAAAGAAUAUGGAAUGCACUCCACAUGUUCGGAAACUUGAAUAUCAUCAAAGAGAUUCUGUGCACUGAUUCUGUGGUAAGAGAUAUAUGAAUGUGAUUGCUGUCUCUAGUAUCAUGUAGAUUUUGCAUUGCCUUAGGUCACAUAUAGAUGCUUUAUUUUCACACGUGGAAACAUGGAGAUAGCCAGUUUGGCUUAAAAUAUGCUAUUAAUUUCCAAAUCGUUCUUGAGGGAUGGAUUGGUGGUAUUCAAAACCAAAUUUGGAAUAAAGCCGGAGAAAAUUGACGGACUGAGUGGUGGAUCUGCUCGCUUUUCUACUCGUAUCAUCAUUUGAGCUUCUUGCUUGGAAUGUAAAAUAAAUGUAAAAAAAAUUAUUUUAAUCUACUUAUACCCUCACGCUCUCGCUUUCUCUCUCUAUAAUUUUUUCUUUGUAGUGUUUUUCUCUAUUUCAUCUUUCUGUAAAAUAGAUGGGCACCCUGAUGAUUCUUAUAGCGGUGAAGAAUAAUCAUGAUCAUGUUUUUCAUCCUAUUUUUUUCUGUUAUAUAUAUUUAGUUGCAGACAUAACUUCCAGGAGACGAAUCUGUGUCUGUUUUGCAUGUAAUAUACUGUUUUGAACUUGAUUGAGUUUCCAUGUUGGAUAACAGGUUGAGGAAAAUUGCAACCAAUAUUCUAUGCGGGAACGUGCAAUCUAUGAUGAGAAUGUUGUGAAUUUGUCAUCUAAACUGAAUGAAUCCCAAAGCAAGGCGGUUUUGGCAUGUCUGCUUAAAAAGCAAAGCAACCAUAAGUCGGCAGUUGAACUUAUUUGGGGCCCGCCAGGGACUGGGAAAACCAAAACAGUCAGUAUGUUGCUCUUUAGCCUCCUAAAAAUGAAAUGCAGAACUCUAACAUGUGGCCCAACCAAUGUUUCAAUUACAGAAGUGGCCUCUAGGGUGUUCAAGCUGGUCACAGAAUCGCAUGAAGCAGAUUCAGGAACUGAUUCUUUGUUUCAUUCUGUGGGAGAUAUUCUUUUGUUUGGGAAUAAGGACAGACUCAAAGUUGAUUCUGAAACUCAGGAAGUCUAUUUGGAUUAUCGUGUCAAAAGGCUUAUAGAGUGCUUUGCACCUCUGACUGGUUGGAGGAAUUGUUUCAAUUCGACAAUUGAUUUUUUUGAAGAUUGUGUUUCUCAGUAUGCCAUUUUCGUGGAGAAUGAAUUAAUCAAAAUGCAGGAGCAUGAUGAUGAAAAUGAAGAGAAAAGGGAAUCCUGUAGCUAUCAAGCUGUUGCCCUCAAAGGAGAGCUUAAAACGUUUCUCGAAUUUAUGAGAGAUAGAUUCCGCUCUACUGCAUUACCUCUAAAAAGAUGCCUCACUUUAUUAUGCACUCACAUACCAGAAACUUGCAUUCUCAAACAUAACAUUCAGAACAUCGUAUCCUUGUUUGGGUUACUUAACUCUUUUGAAUCUUGGCUAUUCCAUGCGGCUGUGAUUUCUGAUGAAUUGCAUGAAGUUUUUUCACACCCAGGGCUAGAUGAGGAUUCUUUCCAAGGUUUUAAUGAUAUAUUGCUGCGGUUGAGACUAAAGAGAAGUGAAUGCCUUACUAUGUUGAAAAGAGUACGGGAUUCUCUCCGCCAUCUGGAUCUUCCAAGUGCUAUGAACAAGCGGUCAAUAGAGGAAUUCUGUUUCCAGAAAGCAACCUUAUUUUUGUGCACAGCUUCUAGUUCGUAUAAGUUGCAUUUGUUGCCUAUUGAACCACUGGACUUUUUGGUAGUUGACGAAGCAGCUCAGCUAAAAGAGUGUGAAUCAACAAUACCCCUACAACUUCCUGGUAUUAGGCAUGCUAUUCUAAUCGGUGAUGAGUGUCAAUUACCAGCUAUGGUCGUAAGCAAUGUAUGAAAAAGCUACCUCAUUGUUUUCUUAUUGUCUUUUUGGUUGAACUGAAUUUUAGAUUUGUUACUGUCUACACUAUUGGCUUCUUAUAGCUUAUGGUUCUUAGGUUUGUGAUAAAGCUGGCUUUGGAAGGAGUUUAUUUGAAAGGCUCAGCUCAUUGGGUCAUUCAAAACAUCUUUUAGAUAUGCAGUACAGAAUGCAUCCAUCCAUCAGUUGCUUCCCUAAUUCAAAAUUCUACUUCAAUCAGAUCUUAGAUGCACCAAAUGUCAAGGCUAGAAGUUAUGAAAAGCAUUAUCUUCCAGGGCCAAUGUUUGGUCCCUAUACAUUCAUAAAUGUAUUUGGUGGAAGAGAAGAGCUAGAUGAUGUUGGGCAUAGCAGGAAAAAUAUGGUUGAGGUAGCCCUUGUGCUGAAAUUACUGCGAAGUCUGUGCAAAGGUAUAUUAUGCAAGAUCUUGAAGUUUUUGUUACCAUCGUGUUUAGGACUUUUUAUAUAUGAUUACAGCCGAAGGCUUGGAAUUUUUUCUGUGCAAACUGAUGCUUACAAUUGUUUUGCUUUGGCAUAUGAGGAAAUUAAAUGAUCUUAAACUACCAAACUUUCUCUGAUGGUGUUUUCAUCUUGCAUUAAAAACACUUGUAUGACUGUUUAGCUCCUUUAAAGUCAAUGCUUAUUGACAUCUUGUUUUCAAAGAGACUAAUAAUAGAGAAGUGAGCCAAUGCAAAUGACCUUUCACUAUGAAUUUGAUACUUUUCUGUGAUAAACUUUUGGCUUAACAUCAUUUCAUCGAAACAAUUCCUGACACAAGAUUUUGCUAUCACUUAUUAUUAUUAUUUGACAUCCUUUGAUGUUUCUGCAUGCAGCAUGGAGUGGACAAAAGGUUAGAGUUGGUGUAAUAUCUCCAUACACUGCUCAAGUUGGUGCGAUUCAAGAGAAGCUUGGUAAGAAGUAUGAAAACAUUGAUGGUUUUUCAGUGAAGGUGAGUUCAGUCGAUGGAUUUCAAGGUGGUGAAGAGGACAUCGUAAUAAUAUCAACCGUGAGAUCCAAUACAGGUGGAGCUAUUGGGUUCAUGUCUGAUCCUCGGAGAAUUAAUGUUGCUCUUACAAGGGCUAGGUAGUGCUUCAAAUGAGCUCAUUCCUGGUGUCGUUUAAUUGUUCUAACAACAGUUCUUACCUUGUUCUAAUGCCAUUUCAGGCAUUGUCUUUGGAUUUUGGGGAAUGAAAGAACCCUAUCAAAUAGUGAAUCUAUUUGGGAAAAGUUAGUCCAUGAUGCUAAGGAACGCAAUUGUUUCUUUCAUGCUGAUGAAGACAAGGAUUUGGCCAAAGCCAUUUUAGAAGUCAAGAAAGAGUUUGAUCAGCUUGAUGAUUUGAUUAAAGGAGACAGUGCACUAUUCAGAAGUGCUAGAUGGAAGGUAUUUAUCUCAUAGUUACGUUUCUGUCAUCCAUCAUAUUUGUAUUAUGGAAGUCCUUAUGGCAGAUGUUUUGUGUUAAGCAUCAUAGUUAUUUUCUUUUGAUAUUUGUGCGGUCCAGGUUCUUUUCAGUGAAUACUUCAAAAAAUCAUUUGGCAAACUAGCAUCAGUCAGAAAGAAGACACCUGUUCUGAACCUUCUACUGAAACUUUCCAGUGGCUGGCGUCCUAAGAAAAGGAGUGUGGACUUCAUUUGCGGAAGCUCUUCUCAAAUCUUGAAACAGUUCAAGGUUGAAGGACUGUAUGUAAUCUGUUCAAUUGACAUAGUGAAGGAAAUAUGCUACACACAAGUUUUGAAGGUUUGGGAUUUAUUACCAUUAGAAGAUAUUCCUAUACUGGCUAAACGUCUAGAGGGCAUCUUUGAGACAUAUACUGAUGAUUUUAUCAGUCAUUGCAAUGAAAAAUGUCUAGAGGGGUAUGUCUUUGCUAUAUUUAUUCUAUCUCUUGUUGUGCACUUGUGUUCCUAAAUAAUUACAUAGAAAUUUGCUUCAAUUUGGCUGAAACGGUUAGAUUUCGUUUUCUUUUGUUGAGUUUUUCUUAUUGUUUGUUUUUGUUCAGAGAUCUGGAAGUUCCAAAAACUUGGAGAACCUCUUUUGAUAUUCCCAGAUAUAAGAGUUGCAGCAACAAUGAAAUAAGAAGCAAUUCAAAUUCUGGUGGUCCUGAUGGUCCCUACUAUGUAGAGAACUCAAAAGUGAGUGAUAGUUUGUUGCUGAUGAAGUUCUACUCAUUAUCUUCUGGGGUCGUGAGCCACUUGCUUUCUGACCGUGAUGGAAGAGAAUUGGAGCUCCCAUUUGAAGUGACUGAUGACGAACUCGAGAUAAUCAUAUUCCAAAGAAGUACAUUUAUACUAGGACGAUCAGGGACUGGUAAAACGACUGUUUUGACAAUGAAGCUGUUUAAGAAAGAGGAACUAUAUUAUACGGCAACACAGGGAUACUUAAAUACUUCAAAGGACAGCAGCAGGAGAAACAAUGUUGCUGAUGACAUUAAAUCUGUCGGGGAUGGUGUUGGAGAUGCCAAAGAAACUGUCUUGCGUCAACUUUUUGUGACAGUCAGUCCAAAACUCUGUUAUGCCAUCAAGCAUCAUGUGAUACAAUUGAAAAGGUUUGUAUUGUUUUAGAAAAUACACUCUACGCUGGAGCUGAUACCUCCAGGUUAAAUUUUUUUCUUUCACAGUGUGCUUUUCAUGAUGCAACUUGUUAUUAAGGAAAUUUUAUUCUCGAAAACAAGCAUUUGUUCAUAUGCAUUGCUGGAUUGAACUUUUAGAAAUUUAUAGCAGGCCCUUAAAAUUAGCUUAGCUUAUUAUAUACUUCAUAAACAUUCCUUUUUAAUCAGAUCACCCCAUUCCAUUAUUGUUAAACUUCGGAAAAUUCUUCCUAAAAUUACCCUGCUUUAUGUAUUUGUUUUCUUAUAUUAGCGUUGUUGUGUGUGUACAGCUUUGCCUCUGGUGGAAAAUACUCAGCAGAAGGGAGUUCAGUUGAUAUGGAAGAUAUUGAUGAUGCAGCACAAUUCAAAGAAAUUCCAAACUCUUUCUUAGAUAUUCCUCCAAAGUCAUACCCACUUGUUAUCACUUUCUUUAAAUUUUUAAUGAUGCUUGAUGGAACAGUGGGUAAUUCGUACUUUGAAAGAUUUUCUGACAUGAGGCAGCUUUUGCAUGAAAAAGUGGGGAAUUCAGGAUCAAUCUCAGCACAAACUCUUAUAAGAACGAAGGAGGUUAACUUCGAGAAGUUUUGUGCAGUUUAUUGGCCACGUUUCAAUGAAAAAUUCAAAAAAAAGCUUGAUUCAUCCAGAGUAUUUACUGAGAUAAUAUCCCAUAUAAAAGGUGGCCUGCGAGCUGGAGAGUCUUGUGAUGGCAGACUGAGCCGAGAAGAUUAUGUUUUUCUGUCAGAAGGUCGUAUAUCCACUUUAAAUAGGCAGAAGAGAGAUUUAAUAUAUGAUAUUUUUGAAGACUAUGAAAAGAUGAAGACAGAAAAUGGUGACUUUGAUAUGGCUGAUUUUGUAAGUGAUCUUCAUCUUCGUCUUAAAACUUACAAGUAUGAGGGUGAUGCGAUGGAUUUUGUCUAUAUUGAUGAAGUCCAAGAUCUUACAAUGAGGCAGAUUGCUCUCUUCAAAUAUAUCUGUAGGAAUGUAGAUGAGGGAUGUAAUGUUUUGUAUUAAAAGAUAGGAAAUGGCAACAAGGCCCUUGAAUGCUUAGAUGUAGGAAUAAAUUAAAUGAGGGGUAGUGUGGUAAUUGAACAAUAGUUGAUAUAUAUAAAUAGAGAGAAGGAAAAAAAAAACAAAAGAGAGAUCUGAAAAAUUUGGGAGAGAAUCGGCAGGAGAGAAGGGAGAAAGAAGAAGAAGAGAAAAGAGGGGGAAAUAAGGGAAACAGGAAAGGAGUUGAAGAGAAUAAGUUUAAAGGUAAGAUUUAGGUUGUUAAAUGUAUAAAUGUAUGUUAAUUGAGCUUAAUUUCAGUUUUGAUUAAUGUUAGGGUUUUGAAAAUUUGUGUUUUGGGUUUAAUUGAUGAAUUAAAUUGAAUGUUAUAAGGUUGAUUGUUAUGGGUAAUUGAUUAAUGAGUUGAUUAUGGAAGAUCGUGAUGAUUUUGAGUUAUGAAUUGUGUAAAUGGUGAAUGUUGAGUUAGAAAUUUGGCAAGAACAGUAGGUAAUCUGUGAGAAUUCUGGGUUUGAGGUUGAAGAUGACGAAAAUUCAAUUUGGUCCCUCAAUUUUGGAAAAUUACAGUUUAGUCCCCAAACUUUGGAAAAUUUGCAGAUUGGUCCCUGGAGCAUAUUCCGAGAUUCUGAACAGAAUAACAUAUGAAUUAUGGACAGAAUUACUGUAUAGAUAAGAGAAUUUAACACUUUCAAUUUAGUCCUUCAAUUUGACAAAAAUUACAAUUUGACCCUAAAAAUUUGGUAAAAUUCCAAAAUGGUCCUUGGAGUAUAAUGAGAUGAUCUGGACAGAAAUGAGGACUAAUUAUGGUCAGAAUUUCAGUAUAUUCAUGGAUUUAUGAUAAAUUUCAGUUUGGUCCUCCAAUUAGACAAAAAUUGCAAUUUGACCCUUAAAAAUAGGAUAAAUUACAGAUUAGUCCCUAGCUGUAAUACUAGCUUUUGCAGAUUGGUUUGAUGAAUAAUUAAGGGUUAUUUAGUGAACUAUUUCCAAUUUUAUUAGUUGUUUUAUUAUGAUUAGAUUUCGGGAAAACCGUUAAAUUUUGGGUUUUUGAGAAAAUUGACUAGUUAGUUCAAAAACAUAUAGGGUUACGGAAUACAUCAUUAGUUAAGUUUAUUAAAUAGGUUAAAUGUUCUUUUGAGUCGUUCUUGAAUAUGUCUUCUUUGUAUUCAGAUAAUCCUGAUAUUCUACCGGCAGGACGUCAGUAGGAUUUUCUUCAGUAUUUGCUCUUGGCUUCUGUUUGCUUUUGAGUCAGGUGAGAGGAUAAUUUUCCAUAUGCAUGAGAAAUAGUAUAAAUAUUUGAUUUGUUAAUAUGAAUUGAAUCAUGCUUCUUGAUAAUAUAUAUGUUGAUUAUUAUCCUUGUUUUGAUAAAGCAUGAUCAAUUGUUGAAUCUGAAUUCUUGAUAUGAACCAGUAUAUAUUUUGAAUUGAAUUCUGAAUUGAUAGCUCCUCAUUUGAUUGAUGUCAUGAGUUGAGCCUUGAGAUAUGAAUACGUCUGUUUGAUUAUGAUUAUGAACCUAUGGUAUGUCAGUCAGAAUACCCAUACUAACAGGGUAGUGUUAGUCUUUGUGCACAUCGUAUCUGAACCCUAGUUGGUCGGGGGAGUCACUAACCUGUGUGGACUGAUCAUCCCACAGUACGGAGCCUCAUGCUCAUUGCAUUUUGAUUUUCUGACGAGUUUUACCAUAUGAUAUUCUUGUUAUGGCCUAUUUAAGAAACCUUUCUAUAAGAACCUAGAGCCAUACUUGUAUAUAUAUUUCUCAUUGCUGUAUUACCUCGUGUGUGUAUAUUGAACGUUAUCUACUCACUGAGUUGUUGAACUCACCAUCUCAUUAUUUAUCCUUUUCAGGCUUAUAGCUUGAUAGCAGGUCACUUUUGUUGGACUUUCCGAACCUGCUCUUUUGGUUGUAAUUUGUACAUUUUCCUUUAUGUCUAGUUAGUGCUCCAAAACUCCGAAUUUAUAUUAACUCUUGUAUUAAGACAAUUCAAUUAUAUUAUGAAGUUGAUUUUGUUAUUAAUGCUGCGUUGAACUCUGAUUGAGUUAGGAUAAGUUUGUGUGUAAGUUUGGGUUCGCAUAGGUAUGGAACCUUGGAGGGGAACCUUGCCUAUGUGCCGGUCAUGGAUCCGGGAUUCGGGUCGUGACAAACUUGGUAUCAGAGCUUUAGGUUAAAGAAACAAUAAUAUAAUUAAGUUUCGUAAUAAGUGGAGCAUUAAGAUCCGUAUCGUCUUGUUUGUUGUUUUUGAAAUUUUGAAUUCUCUUCAAGCAUGUCUUCUUCCUUGUGAUAGAUAUGUUUUCCUAUAAUUUUAUGAUAAUUAUCAUGCUAUUGUUCUAGCAUGACUUGAGUGCUCUCACUUUUAUUUUAGGAAAUGCCGACGAAUAGACGAAUAGCUGAUACUGUUAGAGUAGAGGAUGAUCAAGAUAAUGUCCCUAUUGGGCGGUUGAGAACUGCAAGGCAGAGAAGGAGGCGCGGUGCACCCGUGCCUCAACAUGUUGAGGAGGUACCUCCACCAGUGGAGGAAGAGCCUCAGGAGAUAGAAGAGGAAGAUAUUGUUGAUGAAACAAGUGUGGGGGUAGCUGACCCUGAACCUGUUACAGAGUUUCAGCAACUUAGCCAGGUUGUGCGGACCUGGAUAGAGUUUUCUAUGGAGAGAGAUAGAAGGAGGGAUAGAGAUGUACCCUCGACAUCCCACACUGUUCAGGGAGUUAAUGUGCCGUUGAAUGACUUCAUGAAGUUGGCACCUCCUAUUUUUACUGGGAUGGAUAGUUCAGAGGAUCCUCAGAGGUUCCUAGAUGAUAUUUGGCGACGGUGUGAAGCUUUGGGAUGUACAGACCACCGAGCUGUGAGUUUGGCAUCGUUCAGGUUGGAAGGAGAUGUGGCAAUCUCUUGGUUUGAGUCUAGGAAAAGAGCAAGACCAGUAGAGGCUCAGUGGACAUGGAAGGAGUUUAGCUCCAUGUUCUUAGACAGGUUUCUCCCUCAGAGCGUCAGGGAUGCUCGACUUUAUGAGUUUGAGAGGCUAUCUCAGGGGAGCAUGAUAGUGGAUGAGUAUGAUCUGAAGUUUACUCAGCUGUCUAGGUAUGCAGAACAUCUCCUACCCACUGAGGAGUGGAGGGUGAAGAGGUUUAUUAGAGGACUCAAAUCCUCUAUGUAUAAGGUGAUGGUGUCACAGGUGUUUCCAUCAUACUCUUUAGCUGUUGAUAGCGCCAGAUUGAUAGAGGCACGAGAAUUGGAGGAUAUGACUGCAGGCCAGUCUAAGAGGCCUAGAGAAGAGGGUCAGUCUUUUAGGCAACAGGGAUUAAGUGCAGGUCCGUCUAGGGGACGAAGUGGCCGUCAGGGCUCAUGGGUUCAGAGGAGGUUUAGACAGAGACCGUCAGUUAGUGGCUCAGGCGGUCAGAGUGGUAGUAGUGGUACUCAGAGUUUAGUUCAGACUGCACCUCGUAGUUCAUUUAUUACACCUAGUGAUAGUUCUUCAUGUCAGCACUGUGGAGGAAGUCAUACUAGUGCAGAGUGCUACAGAAGGACCGGGGCUUGUUUUAGUUGUGGCCAGAUAGGUCAUAAGAUCAGAGAGUGCCCGAGGAGACAGUUGUCAGCUUCGGGGUUAUCUGCUUCAGUCCAACAUCCUAUUCAGGCACCAUCGACGAGCCAGUCUGUGGCUCAUGGGGGUAGAGGUUUUGGUGGCCGGGGUGCAGGUGAUAGAGGUCAGAUACAGCAGGGUCAGGGGCAUGCUAGAGUUUUUACCUUGACUCAGCAGGAUGCUCAGGCAUCCAACACAGUUGUUUCAGGUAUUCUUCCUGUUUGCUCUUUUGAAGCAAAAGUGUUGUUUGAUACGAGUGCAACCCAUUCAUUUAUGUCUCUAUAUUUUGCCAUGAGGUUAGAUAAACAACUAACCUUGUUAAAAUCCCCCAUUUCAGUCUCCACUCCCUUAGAUGAAUUAAUAUUAGUGAAGUAUGUGUAUCUGGAUUGUGAAAUAGAGAUUGGAGAUAAGAUCUUUAUGGGAGACUUAAAUGUCUUAGAUAUGGUUGAUUUUGAUGUGAUUUUGGGAAUGGAUUGGUUGGCAAAGCAUAGGGCUUCGGUAAAUUGUUGGGGUAAGAAAAUAAUAUUUGAUCUAGAUGAAGAAGUUGGGUUGGUAUUUCAAGGAGAUAAGAUUGGGUCUCCAUCAAUUAUGUUGUCGGCUAUCUCGAGGAAAAUGGCCAGAAAAGGGGUACAGUGCUACCUAGCAUAUAUAGUGGAUGUAGAGAAAGAAGUUUCCCAGUUAGACCAAGUCCCUAUAGUUAGGGAGUUUAUCGAUGUCUUUCCCGAUGACUUACCUGGAUUGCCUCCAUAUAGGGAGAUUGAGUUUUGUAUUGAUUUGGUUCCGGGUACCGAACCAAUAUCAAUGGCACCAUAUAGAAUGGCGCCAGCAGAAUUGAGGGAGCUAAAGGAGCAACUGCAGGAUUUGUUGGAUAAAAAGUUCAUCCGACCAAGUGUGUCCCCUUGGGGAGCCCCAGUGUUGUUUGUGAAGAAGAAAGAUGGGUCAUUGAGGUUAUGUAUAGAUUAUAGGCAACUGAAUCGGGUGACUAUUCGAAAUAGAUACCCACUCCCUCGCAUUGAUGAUUUGUUUGACCAGUUGCAGGGAGCUCAAUUCUUUUCUAAGAUCGAUCUUCGAUCUGGAUAUCAUCAGUUGAGGAUUAGGGAGACAGACAUUUUGAAGACAGCUUUUAGAACUCGGUAUGGUCAUUAUGAGUUCUUAGUGAUGUCUUUUGGGUUGAUGAAUGCACCAGCAGCUUUUAUGGAUUUGAUGAAUAGAGUGUUUGGCCAGUUUAUUGAUCGAUUUGUAAUAGUUUUUUAUUAAUGAUAUUUUGGUGUAUUCGAGGUCUAGGGAGGAGCAUGAGCAGCACUUGAGAAUGGUGCUUCAAACUCUGCGAGAUCAUCAGCUGUAUGGCAAGUUCUCAAAGAGUGAGUUUUGGUUGGAGAGUGUAGCAUUUCUUGGGCAUGUAGUGUCAAGGAAUGGGAUUGAGGUUGAUCCUCAAAAGAUUGAGGCAGUUAAACAGUGGCUUAGACCUACUUCGGCGACAGAGAUUAGAAGUUUCUUAGGUUUGGCCGGCUAUUAUCGGAGGUUUGUAGAGAACUUUUCUCGGAUUUCUGCACCAUUGACUAAGUUGACGCAGAAAAAUGUUAAGUUUCAGUGGUCUGAAGCUUGUGAGAAAAGUUUCUUAGAGUUGAAAGAGAGAUUGACUACAGCGCCUGUUCUAGCAGUACCAUCAGGUUCUGGUGGUUACACAGUGUAUUGUGAUGCUUCGAGAGUGGGGUUAGGAUGUGUUCUAAUGCAGCAUGGCAAGGUUAUUGCCUAUGCUUCACGGCAGCUGAAGAAGCAUGAACAGAACUAUCCUACACAUGAUUUAGAGAUGGCGGCUGUAAUUUUUGCCUUGAAGAUUUGGAGGCACUACUUGUAUGGUGAAACUUGUGAGAUCUUCACAGAUCACAAGAGUUUGAAAUACAUCUUUCAGCAGAGGGAUCUAAACAUGAGGCAAAGGAGAUGGAUGGAACUGCUGAAGGAUUAUGAUUGUACCAUACAUUACCACCCGGGUAAGGCAAAUGUAGUUGCCGAUGCUUUGAGUAGAAAAUCAUCAGGGAGCUUAGCUCAUAUUCAGGAGGUACGAAGACCUCUGAUUAGGGAGCUGCAUGAGUUGGUGGAUGAAGGAGUCAGAUUUGAUCUUAGUGAAGCUGGAGCAAUGAUUGCUUAUUUUCAGGUUAAGUCAGAUUUGUUUGAUAAGAUAAAAGCAGCUCAGAAGAAAGAUGAUUCACUACUCAGAAUUAGAAAUGAGGUUGAGCAGGGUAAGGCUGCAGGUUUUGUGAUAGGUGAUGAUGAUGUGCUGAGAUAUAGGGAUAGGCUUUGUGUACCUGAUGUAGAUGAUCUGAGGAGAGAAUUGAUGGUAGAGGCACAUCAGACAGUUUACACAAUACAUCCAGGUUCCACCAAGAUGUAUAAAGACCUUAAGGUGUGUUAUUGGUGGAAUAGGAUGAAGGCUGAUGUAGCAGAUUUUGUUUCUAGGUGUUUGACCUGUCAGAGGGUAAAGGGUGAACACCAGAAACCUCCUGGAUUGUUGCAACCAUUGUUGAUUCCAGAAUGGAAGUGGGAAAGGAUCACAAUGGACUUUGUGACAGGAUUGCCUAGGAGUCAGGAGGGUUAUGAUUCAAUAUGGGUGAUUGUUGACAGGUUGACAAAAUCAGCCCAUUUUCUGCUAGUUAGGAUUACUUAUGGAUAUGCAAAGUUGGCAGAAUUAUUUAUUAGUGAGAUUGUACGGUUGCAUGGAGUGUCAAUCUCGAUAGUGUCUGAUAGAGGUCCACAGUUUACAUCGCGGUUUUAGGUGAAAUUCCAAGAAGCUAUGGGUACUAAAGUGCAGUUGAGUACAGCUUUUCACCCUCAGACAGAUGGUCAAUCUGAGAGGACUAUUCAGAUCUUGGAGGAUAUGCUAAGAGCUUGUGUUAUGGAUUUUGGAGUUGGUUGGAGUAAGUUCCUACCAUUAGUGGAAUUUGCUUACAACAACAGUUAUCAGGCUAGCAUAGAGAUGGCACCUUAUGAGGCUUUGUAUGGUCGGAAGUGUAGAUCACCGGUUUGUUGGUUUGAGGUUGGUGAGAAGAGGCUAAUGGGACCGGAGUUGAUUCAGAUUACCUCAGAGAAGAUAGAGGUAAUUAGACAGAAGCUUCAAACAGCUCAGAGUAGACAAAAGAGUUACGCAGAUAAAAGAAGGCGUGACUUAGAGUUUUCAGUGGGUGAUUGUGUGUUCUUAAAAGUAUCACCGACAAAAGGAGUAUUCAGGUUUGGGAAGAAAGGCAAGUUGAGUCCUCGAUUCAUUGGACCGUAUGAGAUUCUGGAGAGAGUUGGGGCAGUUGCUUAUAGUUAGCAUUACCACCAAACUUGUCCGCUAUUCAUCCGGUAUUUCAUGUUUCAAUGCUAAGGAAGUAUAUGUCAGAUCCAUCGCAUGUAUUAGAGGUUUAUCCCAUUGAAUUGAGGGAUGAUAUGGUUUAUGAGGUGCAACCAGAAGCUAUAGUCGACCGACAAGUGAGGAAGCUUAGGUCGAAGGAUAUAGCUUCAGUGAAAGUGAAAUGGAAAGGUCAUUCACGUGAGGAAGCGACCUGGGAGCUCGAGGAUAAGAUGCGUGAGGAGUAUCCUCAUCUUUUCGAUAAUCUCGGUAAGUAUUCAAUCUUUUCUAUUAAGUUUCGAGGACGAAACUUUUAUAAGGUGGGGAGAUUGUAAUGUUUUGUAUUAAAAGAUAGGAAAUGGCAACAAGGCCCUUGAAUGCUUAGAUGUAGGAAUAAAUUAAAUGAGGGGUAGUGUGGUAAUUGAACAAUAGUUGAUAUAUAUAAAUAGAGAGAAGGAAAAAAAAAACAAAAGAGAGAUCUGAAAAAUUUGGGAGAGAAUCGGCAGGAGAGAAGGGAGAAAGAAGAAGAAGAGAAAAGAGGGGGAAAUAAGGGAAACAGGAAAGGAGUUGAAGAGAAUAAGUUUAAAGGUAAGAUUUAGGUUGUUAAAUGUAUAAAUGUACGUUAAUUGAGCUUAAUUUCAGUUUUGAUUAAUGUUAGGGUUUUGAAAAUUUGUGUUUUGGGUUUAAUUGAUGAAUUAAAUUGAAUGUUAUAAGGUUGAUUGUUAUGGGUAAUUGAUUAAUGAGUUGAUUAUGGAAGAUCGUGAUGAUUUUGAGUUAUGAAUUGUGUAAAUGGUGAAUGUUGAGUUAGAAAUUUGGCAAGAACAGUAGGUAAUCUGUGAGAAUUCUGGGUUUGAGGUUGAAGAUGACGAAAAUUCAAUUUGGUCCCUCAAUUUUGGAAAAUUACAGUUUAGUCCCCAAACUUUGGAAAAUUUGCAGAUUGGUCCCUGGAGCAUAUUCCGAGAUUCUGAACAGAAUAACAUAUGAAUUAUGGACAGAAUUACUGUAUAGAUAAGAGAAUUUAACACUUUCAAUUUAGUCCUUCAAUUUGACAAAAAUUACAAUUUGACCCUAAAAAUUUGGUAAAAUUCCAAAAUGGUCCUUGGAGUAUAAUGAGAUGAUCUGGACAGAAAUGAGGACUAAUUAUGGUCAGAAUUUCAGUAUAUUCAUGGAUUUAUGAUAAAUUUCAGUUUGGUCCUCCAAUUAGACAAAAAUUGCAAUUUGACCCUUAAAAAUAGGAUAAAUUACAGAUUAGUCCCUAGCUGUAAUACUAGCUUUUGCAGAUUGGUUUGAUGAAUAAUUAAGGGUUAUUUAGUGAACUAUUUCCAAUUUUAUUAGUUGUUUUAUUAUGAUUAGAUUUCGGGAAAACCGUUAAAUUUUGGGUUUUUGAGAAAAUUGACUAGUUAGUUCAAAAACAUAUAGGGUUACGGAAUACAUCAUUAGUUAAGUUUAUUAAAUAGGUUAAAUGUUCUUUUGAGUCGUUCUUGAAUAUGUCUUCUUUGUAUUCAGAUAAUCCUGAUAUUCUACCGGCAGGACGUCAGUAGGAUUUUCUUCAGUAUUUGCUCUUGGCUUCUGUUUGCUUUUGAGUCAGGUGAGAGGAUAAUUUUCCAUAUGCAUGAGAAAUAGUAUAAAUAUUUGAUUUGUUAAUAUGAAUUGAAUCAUGCUUCUUGAUAAUAUAUAUGUUGAUUAUUAUCCUUGUUUUGAUAAAGCAUGAUCAAUUGUUGAAUCUGAAUUCUUGAUAUGAACCAGUAUAUAUUUUGAAUUGAAUUCUGAAUUGAUAGCUCCUCAUUUGAUUGAUGUCAUGAGUUGAGCCUUGAGAUAUGAAUACGUCUGUUUGAUUAUGAUUAUGAACCUAUGGUAUGUCAGUCAGAAUACCCAUACUAACAGGGUAGUGUUAGUCUUUGUGCACAUCGUAUCUGAACCCUAGUUGGUCGGGGGAGUCACUAACCUGUGUGGACUGAUCAUCCCACAGUACGGAGCCUCAUGCUCAUUGCAUUUUGAUUUUCUGACGAGUUUUACCAUAUGAUAUUCUUGUUAUGGCCUAUUUGAGAAACCUUUCUAUAAGAACCUAGAGCCAUACUUGUAUAUAUAUUUCUCAUUGCUGUAUUACCUCGUGUGUGUAUAUUGAACGUUAUCUACUCACUGAGUUGUUGAACUCACCAUCUCAUUAUUUAUCCUUUUCAGGCUUAUAGCUUGAUAGCAGGUCACUUUUGUUGGACUUUCCGAACCUGCUCUUUUGGUUGUAAUUUGUACAUUUUCCUUUAUGUCUAGUUAGUGCUCCAAAACUCCGAAUUUAUAUUAACUCUUGUAUUAAGACAAUUCAAUUAUAUUAUGAAGUUGAUUUUGUUAUUAAUGCUGCGUUGAACUCUGAUUGAGUUAGGAUAAGUUUGUGUGUAAGUUUGGGUUCGCAUAGGUAUGGAACCUUGGAGGGGAACCUUGCCUAUGUGCCGGUCAUGGAUCCGGGAUUCGGGUCGUGACAAGGGAUUUGUUUUUUGUGGUGAUACAGCGCAAACAAUUGCUAGUGGGAUUGACUUUAGGUUUGAAGAUAUAAGAUCUUUGUUCUAUAAGGAGUUUGUUUUAGUAUCAAGGAGUGCGGGAAAUGACAGAAACGAGAAAGGUCAAAUAUCUAAAAUAUUUCAUUUGAGCCAGAACUUCCGUACCCAUGCUGGUGUGCUCAAUUUAGCUCAGAGUGUUAUUGAUCUUCUUUACCGUUUUUUCCCUUCAUUUAUUGAUGUUUUAAGCCAUGAAACAAGUCUUAUUUAUGGGGAAGCUCCUAUUUUACUUGAAUCUGGAAAUGAUGAAAAUGCAAUUGUAACUAUUUUCGGGAAUAGUGGGAAUGUGAGAAGCAAUUUUGUUGGGUUUGGAGCAGAGCAGGUGAUAUUGGUGCGGGAUGAUGCUGCUAGGAAAGAGAUUGAUAACUAUGUUGGGAAGCAUGCUCUUGUUUUGACUGUUGUAGAGUGCAAGGGCCUAGAAUUUCAGGUCAGUGGUUUACUGUACAUCUUGUUUUUCCUAUUUAGAACAUUAUCUUUCCAAGCGCGUUUUCCUUUUGUCCAAGUCCAACACAUUUGAUCACCACAUUGAUAAUUUUUACCAUGCUCCUAACUUCAGCCUUUCGAUAAUUUGUACCUCUUUAGUUCUGAAUUGUUGUUCUGAAGCGCGUUUUCGAUGAAAGAGCUGAUACGUUUUUUAAAUCUGAUGGAUGUUAACAAUCUUAACAAACAUUCACAUUUCUUUUAGCCACUGAUGUCUUUGCCCUUUUAACUCUUUGCCUCCUUUUUUUUUAGGAUGUCCUCUUGUACAACUUUUUUGGCUCAUCACCUUUGAAAAAUAAAUGGAGAGUUGUCUAUGAGUUUAUGAAGGAACAAGAUUUACUUGAUGCCAAUUCCCCAUCCUUUCCAAGUUUCAUCCCAGCAAAACAUAAUGUCUUGUGCUCUGAGUUGAAGCAAUUAUACGUUGCUAUCACUCGAACACGGCAAAGGUUGUGGAUUUGUGAGAAUGUGGAGGAGUUCUCCAGACCAAUGUUUGACUACUGGACGAAGAAGGGCCUUGUCCAAGUGAGGAAACUGGAUGAUUCGCUUGCCCAAGCAAUGCAAGUUUCUAGCAGUCCAGAAGAGUGGAAGUCUCAGGGUUACAAGGUUUGCUUCUUGUUAUACUAAUGUAGCAUUUAACUUAUAAUUUCUUGAUUUUGAUGUUCUUAAAAAACAUUUAAUAUGCAAUCUCUAUUUAAUUAUUUUUUGUGAUUGAUCAAAAGUUGCUGCAUUCACUUGUCGAGGUAAAAUUUGUCUUGGACUGGAGGUUAUCCAUAUUGUUCACAAAAUUUUUGAGUUUGAUAUCUUGGUUUAUUGCUUUCAGUGAUAUUAGAUGUUUUCAACAUGCCAUUCCUACUUGUUUGAAAGGACAUAAAAGUGUCUUUCACACUGCAUUCUUGUCGUCUCGCCAUGCUCAUACAAGUGUAACUUGCCUUUUCUAUACCUUUUGUUGGUGUCACACAGCUUUUACGUGAGGGUAACUAUGAGAUGGCAACUAUGUGCUUUGAAAGAGCAGGGGAUGAACAUGGGGAGAAAUUGUCCAAGGCUGCUGGGCAUAAAGCAGCUGCUGACAGAAUGCAUAGUUCAAAUCCUGAAAUGGCUUCUGUUGCCCGUAGGCAGGCUGCAGAAAUUUUUGAAUCAAUAGGCAAGGCUGAGUAUGCUGCCGAAUGCUUUUACAUGUUGAAGGAGUAUGAUAGGGCAGGUAUGCUUUUGUUCUAUCUUCACUUCUUUUUCAGUGUUUUUACAGAAACAUGAGCUGAUCGAUGGAAAAUAUAUUUGACAGAAAAGCAGUCUUGCAACCACUGUUAUUCUGCACUUUUGGUUUUCUAAUGUCUCUGUUAGUUAUGACCAUUGCCCGUGUCCCUUGUACACUGAAUUAAUAUUCUUCAUUGCAAAUUGCACCAUCUUUUCUGUGAGAAAAUUAUCUAUGAAAUUCACAGACUUGCAAAUUAGUUGACUGGAUGAUCAUAACCUUAAGUUGCAGUUAUUACCGAGUAGGAUUUACUGGCCUCUGCAGGUAGGAUUUACUUGCAAUGUGGGGAAUCUGCAAUGGAAAGAGCUGGAGAAUGUUUUUUUCUUGCUGGAAGUUAUUGUUCUGCAGCUGAAGUAUAUGCAAAAGGCUGGAAUUUCUCCAAGUGCUUGUCUGCAUGUACCAAAGGAAAACUCUUCGACACGGGCUUGCAUUAUAUACUGUACUGGAAACAACACGGGACUGCAGAUCAAAGAAGCAGAGAAAUGGAUACAAUUGAACAAGAGUUUCUGGAGAGCUGUGCUUGUCAUUAUUACGAGCUCAAUGACAACAGAGCCAUGAUGAGAUAUGUUAGAGCUUUUGAUUCCAUGUCUUCAGCUCGUACUUUCUUGAUUAAUUUAGGGUGCCUUGAUGAGCUUCUGUCAUUGGAAGUGGAAUCAGGCAACUUCCUGGAGGCGGCGGGCAUUGCGAAGCUGAAAGGUGAGCUUGUCCUUGAGGCAGAUCUACUGGGCAAGGGUGGACAUUUUAAGGAGGCAUCAUUGCUUAUUCUGUGGUUUGUGUUUGCAAACUCUCUCUGGUCAACUGGGAGCAAAGGCUGGCCUUUAAAGCAGUUUCUUCAGAAAGAGGAACUUUUAACAAAAGCUAAGUUACUUGCAAAGGGUGUGUCAAACCAGUUUUAUGAGUUUGUUCACACAGAGGCUGAAAUUUUAUUGAAUAGCCAGCACAACUUAUUCAAGAUUCAUCAAAGUCUAGAUUCUUCUCAGAGACAUAGUAGUAUCAGAGGUGAAAUAUUAUCAGCUCGAAAGAUGCUGGACAUGCAUCUUCAUUUAAAUACCUCAAAGUAUUUGUGGGAAAAUAACUUAGUGUCUGAUUUAGCAAGGUUGUCAGAAAGAAACUUUUUGAACAACCAGGUCUCUGCUGAGACACUUGUUUACUUUUGGAAUUUUUGGAAGGAUAAGAUUGUGAACAUAUUCAAGUUUCUUGGACGUCUUGAAAUGCAAGAUGUAACUGAAUAUGGAGAUUUUGGUGAAUUCUGCUUGAAUUACUUGGGCGUGAAGAGACAGUUUAAAAAUCUGAACGCUAUCUAUUUUCUGAUGAUCUCGGAUGCUCAGUGGGUGAGGGAAAUACCCAGAAAAUUUAUUCAAAGGAAGGGGAACUUGGUUUCUGUAGAUGUUCAUCAGUUUGUCACUGCUGCUCAGGGUUAUUGGUGUUCGGAAUUACUUUCUGUCGGCAUGAAUGUAUUGACCAAUCUUGAAGCCCUUUACAAUUUAUCAGUUAGGAAUUCCUUGUCCCUCUUUUGCCAAAGCAGGUCUCUUACUCAUAUAUAUGAGGUGGCAAAUUUUCUUUUGAAUUGCCAGUUUCUAAGUAUUCAACACGGUGAUAUCAAGGCACUGCAGAAAUUCACUCGACUGGCAACUGGAUGCUUCUAUGAUUGCAUCUAUCCUAGGGACUGGAGAGAAUCACUGAAAGAGAAUAUGAUUUCGUUGAGGAGAACUGAGAUUUGUAGGAAUUUACUCAAGGAAGUUAUCUUUGAAGAUGUGAGCUCAAAGAACAAUCUGUCUUAUGCGCAACUUGGAAGGAUCACAUUGAUGAUUCUUGGUUCUGGUGAGAUGUUAUGUGAACCAUAUGAGAAGAUGGCAGAUGGUUUAAAAUGGAAUUCUUCAUGGAAGGCUUUCAUUGAGGAUCUCUGUAGGAAUGAGAGUGAGGUGUCCUAUAUGCGGAAGUUGCAUGAAGCUCUGGUAGAUACUUAUUAUGCCAACUGGAGGAAAGGAGAUUAUAUCUUGCCUGGUUGUUUCUUAUACAUGCUCGAACGCCAACUAAUUUUGUUAUCCUACUUCCAAGGCUAUUGUUUUACAACAAAGUCUUCUUUUGUGGAAUGGCUUAUCUACCAAGAAGGCCAUGGGAGUCCAGCUUUUGAAGGUUUGAGGGGACAUGCACCCCAAUCUACAGAAAGCAUCCUGGAGUUUAUUGUUGACACUGUUCAGCUGUUUCUUGAUAAUGAGAAGGAAAUGAUGGAGUGGAUAAGAGCAUCAGAAAAGAACGUGAAGGUCCUGAAUGACUACCAUGCUGUAGUAGUGUUGAGAUUGGUUGUCAUAAUAUGUUUAAUUUAUGUGAACUUUGGAUUGUGUAAAGGCUUGCUUUCUGACUUGCUGGGUAGGACCUAUAUCACCAAAAAACUGCCAGGUCAAUUUUAUGAUGCCAUCCGGAAGAGGCAGAAGCAUAAUUCUCUGAAUGUAAAUCCAACUGUGGUAGCUGAAGCAUUUAGCAAGAUUGGCAAUCCUCUGGUAGUUGUGAGUUUUGGUAAAAAUUGCUCAAGAUUUUUAUGUCCAGAUGCUAUUUUUGUGGACAUGAAGGUCAAUGAAAGCAAAGACAACGUAUUAAGAGUCUUGUUUCCAAAGACUGAUGCUACAGCUCAGGAUCACACGGGAGCUGUUGAAGCAAACACUAGGAGCUCAUUCAAAGGAAUAGUGUCUCAGGGCAUUGAAGAUCUGGGGAAGAUAACUGAGCUUCCAUCUAAUGUUGGAGACACGGCUAACUGGAACUCGAGGUGUGGGAAAAAGGAUGAGGGUAACCCUCCAUUGAGCCAUGACCGGCUUUGGGAAAUAUUUGAAGCACUAAAAUCUCCGACCCAUGGAGUAGAUGAAAGAAGCAAUAUUGCAUGCGAUCCAACAUUUAAGGUAAUGCUGCUUUUCGAAUUAUUUUUUAUUUUUUUAGCAUGCUCAGAGACAUGGUUAUCUCUUUCUGCUAUUCAUUUUAUCAUUUAUUUUUCAGGUGGAUAUAGACAGAAUUACUUGCCUUUUAAAAGCAGCAAUUGAUGGAAAUUUUCAGAACCCUCCCAGUGUUGAUAAUAAAAACCUGCUUGAGGAAGCUUCCACCAUGCUUCACGAAUUGGGGCAACUUAAUGCUGCAUUAGAAAUGAGGUCGGUGUAAACAUGAUGCCUAGAUCCAUGGUAUUUAAUGAAGUAUUUCAUUCUACUUGCUACGAUAAUAUUUCAAGUAAAUUUUAUUUUCAGGGAACCAGAACAUGAGAGCGACAUUUCUACAAUUGGAGAACUUCUCGAGAAGCUGCAGUCAAGAAGGCCAAGAAUGGAAUUUUUCCUAAGCCAGAUAUUCUUGCAACACGAUGAAAAUCAUAAAAGAGAGAUGUCAGAGAGAAACAUUGCAUCAGAUGGCCAACGUGAUGAGGAACAUAGUAACAGCAAGGCUGAGGGGAGUUGCGUUUCUGCUAAAGGUGAGAUAAACAUUUCACGGAGUAAUGUUGAAACCGGAGGUAGAAACCCUGAUACGGAGAACAAGGGGAAGGGAAACAGCAAGUCCAAGAAAAACAAGAAGGGAAAAGGAGGGCGGAAACUCAAGUAGCCUUAAACCUUUAACGAAUUAAGGAAAUAAUAUUUCUCAAAAAAAUCACCUUUUCUUCUGCCUUUGUUUAUAGCAGUGUGAUUUUUCCUUUCCUUUCCCUUUUUUUUUUUCCUGUAUGGAGAAAGAAAAAAAGAAAUAUUAUGAGGUCAUAACACC